rnacentral:lncRNA from 1 species
UUACAUUGAACUCAGAAAGGAAGUGAAUUACAUAUUUGAAUGGCUGCAAUUUGGUGGUGCACCUGUUGUGAGUUCCAGUGAUAGGAUUUGAUAGUGAAAAGCUGUCACUUGAAAAUCAAGUAUUGUGAUUUUGUGUGUAUCUUGCCAUUUUAACAGCAGAACCUGAAAGAUUUUGAUCAAAGUCAAGACCAAGAUACUUGAUUGAUGACUUCGCAUUUAUACUUUUGUCAUCACAGAUUAAUUGAGCCAUGUUUCCCUGAUUGCGACUACGAAAGAUUUAUUUUUCAUUGCAACAGCACGAAUUUCCUCAAUUUUUGGGAGAAGACACCCUCCUAAAGAUCCCGAUGUUAAAACAUCGGGAUCUUUAGGAGGGUGAGUGGUUGUGACCAGUUCAGGUAUGACGUUUGCAUAUUCCCAAUCAGAAUGAACACAGCCGGUGGUAAUAGAUACAUAAUAUUACAAUAUGGGUCAGUGGUUGGAUAAUAGCCAUCGGUCCAUAUUUUGAGGAAUUUUGCAGAUUUACUGUAUCGAGCCAUGAUUCGCUGAUUGCGAUACGGAGGAUUUAGUUUUAAUUGCAAUAGCACGAAUUUCCUCUAUUGUUGGGAGAAGAAGUGCAAGCAGUGCAGCCCUUCCAUCUAAAGCAAAGAGGCCGCCGUGAAGUUAGGCUUGAUGUGUGGUGUUUCGCGGAGUGACGUCACGAGUGUACUGGCGGGUGAUUUAAAGUUGCUGAACACUCAAACCGCUAUGUCGUUGGGCUUACUUGGGUCGAGGCUAAAAAAUCCAGUAUAAACAGCAUCGUCGGUGAAAAUAAAACUGAACAAGAGGACAGACAAAUCUCUUCUGCAAGACAAUGUAUCAAAGAAUCAAUGGCACUAUGCAGCAACAGAUCAUGACCAAUGUUGCAAGACAAGUACACUGAAAUUCAGUUGGAAGAGUACGAAAGAGUAAUCUGUUGAAAGAACACAAACAAUUAUUGUAUCUUUAAUAACAAGUUACUUGACCAAGACAACUUUCAUCAUUCUGAAAUAUUGAUCAUUAUUAUUAGGAAGAGGAACCAGAACUACUAAAAUUCAUUUUCUAAUAUAGGCUGUGUAAAGCAUUUUAACUUUUAGUUAAUUUAAUUUGAUUGAUUAUGCUAAAUAUUUUGCAAAACAAUGAAGAGAAGAUAUACUGGAGUUUAUUUCAACAUCUUGCUGAAUAUUGAGACACUUUAAUCACGGUGAAAGAAAACACAGAACGAUUGUAUUUUUAUCGGAAUAUCGAAGGAAUUUAUCAAAUUAGUAUUAAUGACAAGUUAUCGCAGUAUCAACAGCUUGCAUCAUUGGAAAAUAUUGAACAAGAGAAACAUAAUUAUGUAUAAUUAUAUAAAUUCAUAGUAUAUUAUGAUUUUGGUUUUAUAUUAAAAAAUAUAAGUAAUGUGUUGAUGUGUUUCUUUGCUGGUCGUGUCUGAAGACUGGAUACGCAGUAUUGAUGUUUCUUUGCUGGUCAUGUCUGAAGACUAGAUAAGCAGGUAAGACAAAGAAGCGCCCUCUAAAAGAAAAAGGACUAGGUUUUCCAUUUUCCCUCAAUUUUUAUUAAAGUGGUGCUGAAGAGUGCCCUCUAAUAGAAAAACAAAAUUUCCAGGGUCUCUAAAUUUUUGUUUAAAGGGGUUCCCUGUGGUGCUGGAAAGCGCCCUCUCUAGCCAUUUUAUUUCUACGUUUUUCAGGGUCUCUUUAAUUGUCAAU